rnacentral:rRNA from 1 species
GCUCAGAUUGAACGCUGGCGGCAGGCUUAACACAUGCAAGUCGAACGAUGAAACUCUAGCUUGCUAGAGAUGAUUAGUGGCGGACGGGUGAGUAACAUUUAGGAAUCUACCUAGUAGUGGGGGAUAGCUCGGGGAAACUCGAAUUAAUACCGCAUACGACCUACGGGUGAAAGGGGGCGCAAGCUCUUGCUAUUAGAUGAGCCUAAAUCAGAUUAGCUAGUUGGUGGGGUAAAGGCCCACCAAGGCGACGAUCUGUAACUGGUCUGAGAGGAUGAUCAGUCACACCGGAACUGAGACACGGUCCGGACUCCUACGGGAGGCAGCAGUGGGGAAUAUUGGACAAUGGGGGCAACCCUGAUCCAGCCAUGCCGCGUGUGUGAAGAAGGCCUUUUGGUUGUAAAGCACUUUAAGCAGGGAGGAGAGGCUAAUGGUUAAUACCCAUUAGAUUAGACGUUACCUGCAGAAUAAGCACCGGCUAACUCUGUGCCAGCAGCCGCGGUAAUACAGAGGGUGCAAGCGUUAAUCGGAAUUACUGGGCGUAAAGCGAGUGUAGGUGGCUCAUUAAGUCACAUGUGAAAUCCCCGGGCUUAACCUGGGAACUGCAUGUGAUACUGGUGGUGCUAGAAUAUGUGAGAGGGAAGUAGAAUUCCAGGUGUAGCGGUGAAAUGCGUAGAGAUCUGGAGGAAUACCGAUGGCGAAGGCAGCCAUCUGGCCUAAUACUGACGCUGAGGUACGAAAGCAUGGGGAGCAAACAGGAUUAGAUACCCUGGUAGUCCAUGCCGUAAACGAUGU